UACGUAGGGUGCAAGCGUUGUCCGGAAUUAUUGGGCGUAAAGAGCUCGUAGGCGGUUUGUCGCGUCUGCUGUGAAAACCCGAGGCUCAACCUCGGGUCUGCAGUCGAUACGAGCAAACUAGAGUGUUGCAGGGGAGACUGGAAUUCCUGGUGUAGCGGUGAAAUGCGCAGAUAUCAGGAGGAACACCGGUGGCGAAGGCGGGUCUCUGGGCAACAACUGACGCUGAGGAGCGAAAGCGUGGGGAGCGAACAGG
rnacentral:rRNA from 1 species